GAUGAACGCUAGCGGCAGGCUUAAUACAUGCAAGUCGUGGGGCAGCAGGUUCCGAGCAAUCGGAAUGCUGGCGACCGGCAAACGGGUGCGGAACACGUACACAACCUUCCUUUUAGUGGAGAAUAGCCCAGGGAAACUUGGAUUAAUACUCCGUAACAUAUAGAAGUGGCAUCACUUUUAUAUUAAAGCAGCAAUGCGCUAGAAGAUGGGUGUGCGGCUGAUUAGAUAGUUGGCGGGGUAACGGCCCACCAAGUCGACGAUCAGUAACUGGUGUGAGAGCACGACCAGUCACACGGGCACUGAGACACGGGCCCGACUCCUACGGGAGGCAGCAGUAAGGAAUAUUGGUCAAUGGACGCAAGUCUGAACCAGCCAUGCCGCGUGGAGGAUGAAGGUCCUCUGGAUUGUAAACUUCUUUUAUUUGGGAAGAAACCCAUCUUUUCUUGGAUGGCUGACGGUACCAGAUGAAUAAGCACCGGCUAACUCCGUGC
rnacentral:rRNA from 1 species